rfam:Ovis aries breed Texel chromosome 18, whole genome shotgun sequence.
UCCCAGGUAGCUUAGUGGUAAAGAAUCUGCCUGAAAUGCAGGAGACACAGGUUCGAUCCCUGGGUCGGGAA